CUUGAUAGGCCGCCGUCCUCUUUGGUUGAAGUGCAUCCAUAGCGGUCCAGCGUAGUCGAGUCCAGUACGUUCAAAGGCCUUCACUCCUUGCUGCACUCGGCUUGCUGGUAAGGAACCCAUAAUUUGCGUAGCUAAUAUUGGACGUUGGCGAAAACAUGCAAUGCAACUCCUUAUCGUGCUGCGAGCUAGUUUUCUAGCAUUGAUGACCCAAAAACGCUGUCGCACAAAAGCACAUAACGCUUGUGCUCCGACAUGCAUGUUGCCUCGAUG
rnacentral:lncRNA from 1 species